rnacentral:rRNA from 1 species
GCGGUAAUACAGAGGGUGCGAGCGUUAAUCGGAAUUACUGGGCGUAAAGGGCGCGUAGGCGGAUCGUUAAGUCAGAGGUGAAAGCCCGGGGCUCAACCCCGGAACUGCCUUUAAGACUGCAUCGCUUGAAUCCAGGAGAGGUGAGUGGAAUUCCGAGUGUAGAGGUGAAAUUCGUAGAUAUUCGGAAGAACACCAGUGGCGAAGGCGGCUCACUGGCCUGGUAUUGACGCUGAGGUGCGAAAGCGUGGGGAGCAAAC